rnacentral:tRNA from 1 species
GCAGUCGUGGCUGAGUGCUUAAGAUGAUGGACUAGAAAUCCAUUGGGGUCUCCCCGCACAGGUUGGAAUCCUGUCGACUGCG